ensembl:lncRNA
GAAGAACACUCAACAGACUUAAUAUUGGAGGUAUAUUGGUCUGGCGCGGUGGUUCACGCCUGUAAUCCCAGCACAGGCCGAGGGGGGCAGAUCAGCUGAGGUCGGGAGUUUGAAAACAGUCUGACCAACAUGGCAAAACCCCCUCGCUACUGAAAAUACAAAAAAUUAGCCAGGUGUGGUGGCGGGCACCUGUAAUCCCAGCUACUGGGGAGGUUGAGGCAGGAGAGUCGCUUGAACCUGGGAGGCAAAGGUUGUGGUGAGCCGAGAUCACACCAUGGCACUCAGGCCUGGGCAACAAGAGCGAAACUCUAUCUCAAAAAAAAAAAAUUCGAAGUAUAUGCUGAAGGGUAUGGCGUCAAGGAAAAGGAAUAGCUGCCUGCCCACCUAUGUGGCAAAGUAGGAUAGGCUGCUAACUGCUUCCUGGAAAAUCAACCCUGAAGAAAUGGGAGUGAGACAGGUUCCAGGAACCAACCGUAGCAGCAAACCAAGGCUUCUGCGUCACUGAAGGCUGUUGAGAGCUGGGAAUGUGGGAAAUGGGUUGCUGUUGCCUGGGGUGGAGGAGACCUGGCUGGAAGGGCAAGGAAAGGAUGAGGGAAAAGCUGUUCAGAGAUCAAGAUGAUCUCCCUCUCCCCAGCAUGGCCUUGGGAUGGUCAUUGCUUAGCACUGCCAUGGCAUCAGUAGUGACAGCCCAGGCCUCUAGGGCCAUAGGACACUGGGCAACGAUGACAGUGCAAAAGCCCAGGAGUCAGGAAGAACACAUGCAGACCGACCAGCAGGCUGCCUGUGGCCAUCCCUCCACAACCUCCUUCCGCCCCAGGCAGGGAGUCGUGCAGCCCUGUGUUGUACAGAGCAUCCCAGGCUGAGAGGCCAAUGGCACAGACACCCUGCAAGGCCUCUCCUCCCUGUGUGAGUGCCCUGGCCAUCUGUGCUCUAGCCUGGGUGCCUUUUUGUAAUUUGUAUGGCCAGAGGCAGCUACUCUCAGCCCGGUGCAAGGACUCGCGCCUGUAAUCCCAGCACUUUGGGAGGCUGAGGCAGGCAGAUCACUUGAAGCCAGGAGUUCGAGACCCGCCUGGCCAACGUGGCAAAACCCCAUCUCUACUAAAAAUACCCAAAAAAAAUCAGCUGGGUAUGGUGGCGGGCGCCUGUAAUCCCAGCUACUUGGGAGGCUGAGGCGUGAGAAUUGCUUGAAUCCAGGAGGCAGAGGUUGCAGUGAGCUAAGGUCGCGCCACUGCACUCCAGCCCGGGCGACAGAGCGAGACGCUGUCUCAAAAAAAAAAAAAAAAAGUAAUUUUCCAAGGUCACAGUGCUAUUAAGCACCAUUUGUAAUUGCAGACAAAACCAGAAAACUCAGACCCCGGAAUCACCUCACAUGUCAUUCGAUGAAUUGCGGUACAUACAUGCAAAGGAACAUAGGGCAGAUUCACUGGUUGAUUUGAUUUGUGUUUGAUGAAGAAAUCUCAGAAGCAACAUUGAGAGAGAAAAAAGCAAGUUGUAGCUAUCUUUCAGCUGAGGAGAAAAUAUGCAAUCUCACCUGAAAUAUCUGGUAAUUCUAAUUUCAGUUUCCCUUUGCAAUUUCCUUUCCAUUCCCAGAAUUUUCCUUGCGUUUGUGGGAGCCAUGGUUUGGGUCUCUUUUUCGUGGUCUUUUCCUUUCAGGAAACUGUGUUUCCUCGAGUGUCGAGUGGCUCUCGUGCUUCCGGUCGCAUUUCUGUGAAAGAAACUACUGGGAUAUUGGGGGCAGGACUUGUUGACUGACAGCCAUCACCACAGUGCUGACUCUGUCCCUCAAGACCAGGAGUGUACUGGGCAGACACACUUCUCCUGGCCUUAGCCAGCCUGGCACUGCUGGGCCCCACCAGGCAGCUGGGAGGGCGCCUGAACUGCCCCUGGCUGGGUGGCCUUAAGGACCCCAGGGGGUGCUGCCAGCUACGAUACACCCACUUUCUGCUUCUUUGCAGAAACCUUUAUCGGUGAACUAUCAGUGUCCCCUCCUUUGUGUUAGGAGCCCAUAGGGCCUGUAUUCCUUUGCUGUCAUUUGAACAGUAUUUUGAGAAAACCAUAGGCGCUCAACCAAGGCACACUGCUAAGUCAGUUGCCACUCAAGUUUCUGCUUUUCGGCCGGGUGCAGUGGCUCACGCCUGUAAUCUCAGCACUUUGGGAGGCCGAGGUGGGCGGAUCACCUGAGGUCAGGAGUUCGAGACCAGCCUGGCCCACAUGGAGAAACCCUGUCUCUACUAAAAA